rnacentral:misc_RNA from 1 species
ACGGAUGAAGGUGAUUAUCAGGUUAAGCUUCGCAACUUACGUAAGUUCUUAGAAGCUGGCGAUAAAGCUAAAAUUACCAUCCGCUUCCGUGGCCGUGAAAUGGCUCACCAAGAAAUUGGCAUCGAACUAUUAAACCGCGUUAAAGGCGAUUUAGAAGAUUUAGCAGUCGUUGAGUCUUUCCCAAAUCGCGUUGAAGGCCGUCAAAUGGUUAUGAUGAUGGCACCUAUUGCUAAAAAGUAAUUUUUAAGUAAUAAUGCGCACCGAAUUUAGCUCAGGUCUGCAAGCAAUAUGCAAAUAUUCACCUGAGUUAACCGGUUUUAAAGUAAAGUUGC